UACGUAGGGCGCAAGCGUUAUCCGGAAUUAUUGGGCGUAAAGAGCUCGUAGGUGGCUUGUCGCGUCUGCCGUGAAAGCCCGUGGCUUAACUACGGGUCUGCGGUGGAUACGGGCAGGCUAGAGGCUGGUAGGGGCAAGCGGAAUUCCUGGUGUAGCGGUGAAAUGCGCAGAUAUCAGGAGGAACACCGGUGGCGAAGGCGGCUUGCUGGGCCAGUUCUGACGCUGAGGAGCGAGAGCGUGGGGAGCGAACAGG
rnacentral:rRNA from 1 species